rnacentral:rRNA from 1 species
UGGCGGACGGGUGAGUAGCACGUGGAUAACCUACCCCGAGGUGAGGAAUACCGGCGAGAAAUCGCUGACAAGACCGCAUAGGUUUGGGCAACCAAACAAAGCUCGUAAGAGCGCCACGGGAGGGGUCUGCGCCCGAUUAGUUAGUUGGUGGGGUAACGGCUCACCAAGACCACGAUCGGUAGCUGGUCUGAGAGGAUGAUCAGCCACACUGGGAUUGAGAACGGCCCAG